rnacentral:rRNA from 1 species
UACGUAGGGUGCGAGCGUUGUCCGGAAUUAUUGGGCGUAAAGAGCUCGUAGGUGGCUUGUCACGUCGGGUGUGAAAUCCCAGGGCUUAACUCUGGGUCUGCAUUCGAUAGCGGGCUGGCUAGGGUCCUCAGGGGAGACUGGAAUUCCUGGUGUAGCGGUGAAAUGCGCAGAUAUCAGGAGGAACACCGGUGGCGAAGGCGGGUCUCUGGGAAGGUACCGAGCUGGAGGAGCGAAAGCGUGGGGAGCAAACAGG